GACGAACGCUGGCGGCGUGCUUAACACAUGCAAGUCGAACGGAAAGGCCCUGCUUUUGUGGGGUGCUCGAGUGGCGAACGGGUGAGUAACACGUGAGUAACCUGCCCUGGACUUUGGGAUAACUUCAGGAAACUGGGGCUAAUACCGGAUAGGAGCUCCUGCUGCAUGGUGGGGGUUGGAAAGUUUCGGCGGUUGGGGAUGGACUCGCGGCUUAUCAGCUUGUUGGUGGGGUAGUGGCUUACCAAGGCUUUGACGGGUAGCCGGCCUGAGAGGGUGACCGGCCACAUUGGGACUGAGAUACGGCCCAGACUCCUACGGGAGGCAGCAGUGGGGAAUAUUGCACAAUGGGCGGAAGCCUGAUGCAGCAACGCCGCGUGCGGGAUGACGGCCUUCGGGUUGUAAACCGCUUUCGCCUGUGACGAAGCGUGAGUUACGGUAAUGGGUAAAGAAGCACCGGCUAACUACGUG
rnacentral:rRNA from 1 species